rnacentral:rRNA from 1 species
AGUGAACGCUGGCGGCAGGCCUAACACAUGCAAGUCGAACGGCAGCACAAGAGAGCUUGCUCUCUGGGUGGCGAGUGGCGGACGGGUGAGGAAUGCAUCGGAAUCUGCCCAUUUGUGGGGGAUAACCUCGGGAAACCGGGACUAAUACCGCAUACGACCUACGGGUGAAAGCAGGGGAUCUUCGGACCUUGCGCAGAUGGAUGAGCCGAUGCCGGAUUAGCUAGUUGGUGGGGUAAAGGCCCACCAAGGCGACGAUCCGUAGCUGGUCUGAGAGGAUGAUCAGCCACACUGGGACUGAGACACGGCCCAGACUCCUACGGGAGGCAGCAGUGGGGAAUAUUGGACAAUGGGCGCAAGCCUGAUCCAGCCAUGCCGCGUGUGUGAAGAAGGCCUUCGGGUUGUAAAGCACUUUUGUUGGGAAAGAAAAGCAGCCGGUUAAUACCCGGUUGUCAUGACGGUACCCAAAGAAUAAGCACCGGCUAACUUCGUG